rnacentral:rRNA from 1 species
CUACGGGUUGCACCAGUGAGGAAUAUUGCACAAUGGGGGGAACCCUGAUGCAGCAACGCCGCGUGGAGGAUGACGCAUUUCGGUGUGUAAACCCCUUUUAUAUGUCAAGAAAAUGACGGUAGCAUAUGAAUAAGCACCGGCUAACUCCGUGCCAGCAGCCGCGGUAAUACGGAGGGUGCAAGCGUUACUCGGAAUCACUGGGCGUAAAGGACGCGUAGGCGGGUUGGAAAGUCAGGUGUGAAAUCCUACAGCUUAACUGUAGAACUGCACUUGAAACUUCUAAUCUAGAGUAUGGGAGGGGGAGAUGGAAUUAGUGGUGUAGGGGUAAAAUCCGUAGAUAUCACUAGGAAUACCUAAAGCGAAGGCGAUCUCCUGGAACAUUACUGACGCUAAGGCGUGAAAGCGUGGGGAGCAAACAGGAUUAGAUACCCCUGUAGUC